rnacentral:rRNA from 1 species
UACGUAGGGUGCGAGCGUUGUCCGGAAUUACUAGGCGUAAAGAGCUCGUAGGUGGUUUGUCACGUCGUCUGUGAAAUUCCGGGGCUUAACCUCGGGCGUGCAGGCGAUACGGGCAAUACUUGAGUGCUGUAGGGGAGACUGGAAUUCCUGGUGUAGCGGUGAAAUGCGCAGAUAUCAGGAGGAACACCAAUGGCGAAGGCAGGUCUCUGGGCAGUUACUGACGCUGAGGAGCGAAAGCAUGGGUAGCGAACAGGAUUAGA